rnacentral:lncRNA from 1 species
GAGGUUUCGUCAUCCCUCGUUGCGAAAUCGACGAGCCUCCAACUUCAUCUCUAUUCGACGACGGAGGCGCACCCGAACGAAUCCAGCUCCUUCAUCCCUAAUCGACAACGAACCAUCAUUUGCUCUUCAACGAUAACGUCACGCCCGCACACAGAUCCUGAUUAACCAAGAGCUGAAGACCAUACCGGACAUCGAGGUGAGUAUCGCGUUCAUUGUUGUUGGUUAUGUGAUUGUUCAUACGUGAGGAUCGGAAACUGUGUCGAGACCUAAGCGUGGGUUAAGGAUGGAGCAAGAAAGAGGAAGAUUAAUCUGAUUUUGGUGGAGAGAACACGGGUUUCAAAUUUCCAUUCGUGCUUUUGGGCGGAAUCUUGAUUUGGGGAAGAAGCUUUUGAGUCAGAUUUUUCGGGUUACACAUAGGGAUUGGUUUGAUGGAUGUUUUGCUCAAUUCAAG